GCACUUCCGUCCCUCCUUGGCGCUAGCAAACAUCAAGGUUGUAAUUAGUUUGGAACGUCUGUUUCGAUUCAGUGAUUGCUGCCGUGCGGCUAUGUAAACAAGCCGUGCGUAGACUUUAAUGACGCUGUGAGACCCAAUGCAGUCGCUGUGAUUUUGUUAAUUCCUACCCUGGCCUUGGCUGUAAGAGUCCUGUCGUGUGUGUUAUUCAAAUCUCCUUGACGAUUGGUUUGGGGAAGCCAGUAGCUGCUUUUCAUUUGAGGCACUCGUGUCUUUUUACAGCUGCAUUGCUGUCCUGUUUCCAGAAACUAUUUUUUUUAUUAUUUUCUUUUU